rnacentral:rRNA from 1 species
AAUGAACGUUGGCGGCGUGGAUUAGGCAUGCAAGUCGAGCGGGAGUAGCAAUACUCUAGCGGCGGAAGGGACAGGAAUGCGUAGAUUACGUACCCCUAGGACUGGAAUAGCUGCGGGAAACUGCAGGUAAUGCCAGAUAAUAUCUUCGGAUCAAAGGUGUGAUUCCGCCUAGGGAGCGGUCUACGUCCUAUUAGUUAGUUGGUGGGGUAAUGGCCUACCAAGACUUUGAUGGGUGGCGGGUGUGAGAGCACGACCCGCGUCACUGGGACUGAGACACUGCCCAGACACCUACGGGUGGCUG